AUGAACGCUAGCUACAGGCUUAACACAUGCAAGUCGAGGGGAAACGACAUCGAAAGCUUGCUUUUGAUGGGCGUCGACCGGCGCACGGGUGAGUAACGCGUAUCCAACCUGCCCACCACUUGGGGAUAACCUUGCGAAAGUAAGACUAAUACCCAAUGAUAUCUCUAGAAGACAUCUGAAAGAGAUUAAAGAUUUAUCGGUGAUGGAUGGGGAUGCGUCUGAUUAGCUUGUUGGCGGGGUAACGGCCCACCAAGGCGACGAUCAGUAGGGGUUCUGAGAGGAAGGUCCCCCACAUUGGAACUGAGACACGGUCCAAACUCCUACGGGAGGCAGCAGUGAGGAAUAUUGGUCAAUGGGCGAGAGCCUGAACCAGCCAAGUAGCGUGCAGGAUGACGGCCCUAUGGGUUGUAAACUGCUUUUAUAAGGGAAUAAAGUGAGUCUCGUGGGACUUUUUGCAUGUACCUUAUGAAUAAGGACCGGCUAAUUCCGUGCCAGCAGCCGCGGUAAUACGGAAGGUCCGGGCGUUAUCCGGAUUUAUUGGGUUUAAAGGGAGCGUAGGCCGGAGAUUAAGCGUGUUGUGAAAUGUAGAUGCUCAACAUCUGAACUGCAGCGCGAACUGGUUUCCUUGAGUACGCACAAAGUGGGCGGAAUUCGUGGUGUAGCGGUGAAAUGCUUAGAUAUCACGAAGAACUCCGAUUGCGAAGGCAGCUCACUGGAGCGCAACUGACGCUGAAGCUCGAAAGUGCGGGUAUCGAACAGGAUUAGAUACCCUGGUAGUCCGCACGGUAAACGAUGGAUGCCCGCUGUUGGUCUGAAUAGGUCAGCGGCCAAGCGAAAGCAUUAAGCAUCCCACCUGGGGAGUACGCCGGCAACGGUGAA
rnacentral:rRNA from 1 species